GCGUCGGUAGUACAAUGGUUAGCACUCGCCUUUUACAAAGGUGAAAUUCGGGUUCGAAUCCCGACUAAUGUU